UGAGAUUGAGUGUGCUUCUAUUCAUGUAGGCCUACAUUUCCCAGUUCUAUCACUGAACUGUUUCCCGGACAAAAAGAAGUGGUUUCAGAUCAGCUUUAAGACAAGUCAAGGCAAGUCUUACCUGAAUCAUCAGCUAGUGAGAUGUUAGUAAAAGUCUCGUCAUCUUCAUCUGCGUCUCCCUCCAUGACUGAGAGUGUUUGCAAAUCUCUCUCUCUUCCUGAAUCGAUGUGUAGUUUGUCCGGCCUUACCCUCUCAAUUAUUCACCAUCACCACAGUUACCAACCAGACCUGUGUGGUAACUCAGGUGACAAAGCUGAAGCAGACUUUAGGGCGACGCCUGCUGAGAGAUCCAAAGUUCACUCGUUCACUUUCUCAGAUUACAAAGACAUUGACUGAUGGACUGGAGUCAUGUGGAUUACUUGUGUAUUAUUGUGAUGUUUUUAUCAUCUGUUUGGACUUGUUCUGACGGCGCUGCAGAGGAUCCACUGGUGAGCAAGUGAUGUAAUGCUAAAUUUCUCCAAAUCUGUAACAAACUCAUUUAUAUCUUGGAUGGCCUGAGUAGAUUUUCAGCAAAUUUUCAUUUUUUGGUAGAAUGUUCAUUUAAUGAGAGAAAUGGACAAGCUCUAGUGAGAAUGUAAAUUAUUUUAAUAGUGCUUAUACAGACAAAGCAGAUAAGAUUAAACACACAUCCAAGACAGCACUCUGUAAAUGUGCCAGAGAAUAAAUGAGAUUAAAGCCUUAAAAACCAAACUCACAUCUAUCUAUCUAUCUAUCUAUCUAUCUAUCUAUCUAUCUAUCUAUCUAUCUAUCUAUCUAUCUAUCUAUCUAUCUAUCUAUCUAUCUAUCUAUCUGUCUGUCUGUCUGUCUGUCUGUCUGUCUGUCUGUCU